rnacentral:rRNA from 1 species
UACGGAGGGUGCAAGCGUUAUCCGGAUUCACUGGGUUUAAAGGGCUCGUAGGUGGCCAACUAAGUCAGACGUGAAAUCCCUCGGCUUAACCGGGGAACUGCGUCUGAUACUGGAUGGCUUGAGUUUGGGAGAGGGACGCGGAAUUCCAGGUGUAGCGGUGAAAUGCGUAGAUAUCUGGAGGAACACCGGUGGCGAAGGCGGCGUCCUGGACCAACACUGACACUGAUGAGCGAAAGCCAGGGGAGCAAACGGG